CGUCUAGGCCUACGUAUUUCCGGUCCGGAUGGGCCGACAGCCACACGCCACACGGAAGUUGUCGCACGCGCUCUUCCGCAGGAUGGAAUUGAUGGCGACUGCGACGUGACUUCUGACAUUUUGGAAAAGCUGAAAUAUUAUGAGUAGGGGUUCAACGUAACUGUCUAUGAGUGCUGCAACAACAAAAUUUAUAUUUUUUAUUCUCUAAAAAUUUAUGGCGAAGAAAUAUCUUCUCAAAGUUUGAACAAAUUUUAUUUUCACAUGGAAUUGAUUGAUUGAUAUGGGCCUACUAUGAUCAUUGGCCCACAUGGAAUUAAAAUCAGUUUGGUAUGAGUAGCUAUUUUAAAUGAAAUGAGAAAAAUAAAUUAAAGAAAAUUUCUAUAGCCUAUCAAAUUAAUUCUAUCAUUUAAAUAUGGCCUUCAAAUCUUUCAUGCUUAUAAAUGGCAAUAUUUUUUGUUCUCAUCACAAGGAUUCAGAAUUUAAAUUAAAAGAAAAAUGAGCUUCAUCCUUUAAUCAUUUAAGCUGGUACAUAAUUUAUCAAAUGUUAAUAGAAUUUUU